rnacentral:tRNA from 1 species
GGGACCGUAGCUCAACGGGAGAGCACCCGGUUUGCACCCGGAGGAUGUGGGUUCGAUUCCCAUCGGCUUCCA